rnacentral:lncRNA from 1 species
CCAGGUUCUUUUUCUACAGUUUAAUUGAGCUCAAGGAAUGAAAAAUCCAAGUGCACAAAAACUUGCAUGAAUUCUCUAUUACAUAAAGAAGCAAACAUACAAUCAUGAUAGCAAAUAAACAUGCUGAAUAUUUUCAGGCUAUUUUAAAUAGUGCCCUGUACAUGUACAUAAAUAAAUAAUACUGUUUCUCUGUUACCUUUAAAUACAGUACCACAAAGUUUCAUUAUUUUCAUGUAAUUCAAGUAAAUGAGCAUAAAGGAAUGAGGAAAUAGACGAUAUUUAUAUCAUUUAUAUUAUUGUUUAGCAACAAUUCUUAUUUAUUCCUAGAAAGUAAUCUAAUAGGCCAAAAACUACUACAAACCAUCUUCCUUUUAGAGUUAGCUGUAUUAAGACCAAUGGUAUCAUCUCCACAUUUUGUCAUAGGCCACAAAUCAGUUACAAACCUUCAGCUCAUUUAAUUAUUUAAAGAUUUGGAAAACAGGCUAAAUUUAAACAAAGCAAAGAUCGAUAUAUUUUUAUAGUCUAUUUUUGUACUUUUCUACAACUUUUUCCCUUAACUGAGUCUAAGCCUGAAAUAUUCUUUUUACAUUCUUUUUGGGUUUUACUGUAUCUCAGAUUGUUUUAAUUGGUUUAAAUGCAAGGUGUAUGUAAACAACUCCUCAGAAAUGAGAGGCACUUCUUGGAAAUACAAUGACUCUUGUCACCAGACUAGCAGAACUCUCUAUGGUUUUGACUUGAUGAACUAAAUGAGUUCAUGAUUCAACUUUCCAACACGGCCUACUUCAAAAAGGCAAGAUUCUUAUCUGCAACAUUUGGUUCCUUAAGAUGUGUUAGACGUGUUGUCAGAGAUCAUAAAAUUAAAAUUGUGUUUAGUUCUGUAAGAACCUAACUUUAAAAAUAAAUUACUAGGAGCUCUGAUUCAUUCCAUUACUAACCAGUUAAAAUAAAUGACCAACCUGAGGCAAGAAGUAAACAAGCAACGUCACUUUUUCAGGCUUUUUAAAUGGUCUGAAUAGGUGACAUUAUGCCUAUUCCCCAGAUUAAACCAGCCUCAAUUAAGAGCUAGGAACAAAUGCAUGAGGCAUAGUCUCGAAAUUUCUUAAUCGUAACGAUCUUCAGCUCAGACACAUAAAAGGCAAGGAAAAGAAAACAACAUCCUCACCCAUUCCAGGCCUCCGAGAGUACCCGCAUGGACGCCAGCACUCCACAUAUCAUCUUUAGUAUCACUGUAAGUAGCGCAUACAGAUGCAAAGGUGUAUAAUAUCAUGCUCGCAAAUACUUACUGGCCAUGAAACUUCAUAAAGAGCUGCAUAAAACUCUAGCAGAGAAUCCUAAGAGAAGUGCCAGCCACAAGUAAGACACAUCUGUGCUACAGGAGCAGGGUAGACAAGGGGUGCACAGGCACCAGGCAUGAACCACAGAAAGGAGAAUUAAGAAUGGUGUUACAUUUUCCAAACACAUGGCAUACACUGAGGACAAAAGUUAGAGUGUAUUUGAGGACUGCGGAACCAGCACCUACUAUACACACAUCUUUGUUCACAUUAAAAGGUGUAAGGCCUUUCUACAAGAGCAUGCUGUUUGCAGCAGGCUGGUGCGAGAGGUAAGGAAUGUUAAGGGAAAAUCUGCAAACAUCUCAAAAUAAAGUCCUGAAAGAAAAAGUCUACCAUAAAAAAUGUCAUAUGUUGUUUACUGAUUAAAAUCUGAUUUUAAAAAGGUAUCUUACUAUACAAUCUUGGUGCACUGUUCCAGUCACAAAUGUUUCUUGUCCUUGUGCAGUGGGCAGCAACAGUCUACAGGCCAUUAUAUACUUGGAAAGGCAACAUGUCAAAUUUCUCAUUUACGCCGAAGGUGAAAAGAUAGGAACAGGGGUGUCAGCAACAACAACAAAACCCACGGUAAUUGAUUAAAGGGAUCCACUACUCACGAAAACACACUAACAAGAAGUAGUCAACCCAAGGUUUUGAAGAUAACAAGUAUCGACAGAGUGCUCACAGCACAGCUACAGGAACAAGUGGAUGUUAUUUAGAGGCAGUGAAGGACAUGCGCGCAGGGAGCAGGAAGCCACAGAGAAGCACAGCCCGCAACUUCGUCCAUGUCCCACUGCCCUCCACCUGGAGCUGUGUCCUCCUCUCCUGCCCUUGUGCCCCACAAGAUAAGAAAACCCUGCUCUUCCAAACUGAAACAGACCCUUAUUUCUGACUAAGGACAGCAGGAUCUGAGUCCCAAGGCAGUAAGUAACUAAACAAGUGCUGCAUCUGACUAGUUUCCGUGUUUCUAGCUUAUUACAGACCCUUCCUUUACAACUUCUGAAAGGUGACUUCCUUCUGCUUCCUCUUCAGAGAAAUUUUAGGGCACCACAUAUUUCAUUCUUGCCCUGCCAAACAGGAAUAUCCACACUGAAAAUUAUUUUAAUCUCAGUUUAGAGAACUCAGAAGUGGACUACACAAUCACCUCUGCAUUUAAAGUAUCUUUUAAAAGAGAGAGAGAGAAAAGCAUGAAAAUUCUCUAUGCCAUUGUGUCUACUGAGUAAGUAGCUCAGCUUUAAAUGACGGCCCAGAACAGAAACUCACAUAAUUCCUAACUCUGGAAAGAACCGACACUUCUCCUUGGGCAUAAAGUGAACAGAAAUCUGCUUGCAAAAGGAGAAGACAUGGUGGCCAGAAGGGCCUGAUUUCAAAUGCCAGGAUUGCACAUAAUUUAAAACAGCAUGCACUGUUUUACAGACUUAUGUGCAAGUGAAAAUGGGGAACUAAACCGCCAGUUUUACAAAGACUGGCUGGCAUUCCAGAAGUCUCCUUGACUCCUCCCCUGGAGUACUGGUGUUUUAGUCCUUACACCGCACAUCACUUUGGUUACUUUUUACCCAGUGGGCUCUCAAAUGCUUAAGACUAUCAAAACAAAGACACUGAAAGACACCUCUCCUUGGAUAUAACUCUACCACCUUGUAAUGGUGAAGACUCUGGACUCUGAAAAGACCUCUCCUGGGGGCAGGGGUGGGGGGUGGGCGAGCGGUCCAAACAACUUCACUGGCACUCGUUUCGAAAUGUCUUAACAUUCGCAGCACUGUAGCUUCUGGGAGAGCUCCAGUAUUUAGGUAUCUGCUGGUCUUCGCAAUUCAUCGUCAGAUGUUAUUUUAAUUUGUAUGAGUUUUGCUUUGCUCCAUUUGUUUUGAGUUUCUUCUCACUGGAUAUUGUUGUAUGAGCACAGCUGUUUGCAGUCCCCUUUUUCUUAAGAUUCCCAUGUGCUUGUGUUCUGGAAGAGUCCAGAUCGUUGCUGGCUGUUCGGGAACUCGGAUAUUCCCACUGGCUUCCAGUUUGGAGCUGCUGUCGCUGCAAGAAAAAUCCCUGUGCUGCAUCUUGGUGCUUUUACUGGAUUUCUUUUUCUUCUCUUUAGUCCUCAUUUCGGGGUUUGCUGGAGGGGAUGUAGCCUGGUGCUGGCCUCAGGGGACCUGGGGGAGGUCUCAAAGGCGUAAUAGGAUGGACGUGUUUCUUCAAAGCGAAAACCUUGCUUUCGUGCAGGGCCUGACUUUGAAGCCCCUUCCAGGUGAGGCAGCGGCUUGGACAGACCACUCGCAAUUAGUUUACUUCUCCCAGGACUUUUCAGAGCCCCGGGCGCCCCCUGGGCUGCCAGAGGUCGGGCCUUGGAGCCCUUUCCCUUCUCACCUUGUACAGUCUGGAUCUGCAGCCACUCGAGCUGAAGGAGCCUGUUGAUGUACUUCCCAAGGAAGCCCCGGGCUCGGGGGCUCGGCCUCGUACUCUGUGUUCAGAAGCACUGCCAUCUCCCGGAGGUUCCACGAGCUAAAAGGGGGUGGCAGGAAAUCGGGUAACAGUACUCGGGCUUGGCAUGGCUCUGACUUGGGUGAAGAUCGAAGUAAAUUGGGUCGAUUUCCUCAGCUCGAAGAUUUAGAUCUGGCGGGGGUGAGGGGGAGGAGGAGGAAUCGGCAUCCGCUCCGAGUCUGACAGAUCACUUGCACUGUCCUCGUCAGCACCUUCCUUAAUAAUUUUCAUUGACUGGAAGUCAAGAAACAAUUUGUUCCCUGAGGCUCCCUGGCACAUGGAGCUGAGUACAUUCCCUUCUGGUUUUCCUUCUGGAAGAAAGCCUUCUUUAAGUUUCUCUGCAGCUGGUUGAGAGACGCCCACAAGGCUGCCUCUCAGCCCGGAAGACAGAUGAGGUACUUGGGAUUUACUAUGUCUUUUUCCUGAAGAAUCCUUUGAAAGUUGUACUUUAUUCCAAGAUGGCCCAGCAUUCAUAUUGCUAUGAAAAAG